rnacentral:rRNA from 1 species
GACGAACGCUGGCGGCGUGCUUAACACAUGCAAGUCGAACGGAAAGGCCCCUUUGGGGGUACUCGAGUGGCGGACGGGUGAGUAACACGUGAGUAACCUGCCCUUGACUUCUGGAUAACUUCAGGAAACUGGGGCUAAUACCGGAUAGGAAUCCUUGCUGCAUGGUGGGGGUUGGAAAGCUUUGGCGGGUUUGGAUGGACUCGCGGCUUAUCAGCUUGUUGGUGGGGUAGUGGCUUACCAAGGCUUUGACGGGUAGACGGCCUGCGAGGGCGACCGGCCACAUUGGGACUGCGAUACGGCCCAGACUCCUACGGGAGGCAGCAGUGGGGAAUAUUGCACAAUGGGCGGAAGCCGGAUGCAGCAACGCCGCGUGCGGGAUGACGGCCUUCGGGUUGUAAACCGCUUUCAGCAGGGGCGAAGCUUGUGGUGACGGUACCUGCAGAAGAAGCACCGGCUAACUACGU